UCUCAUCCUACGGAGAUCUUUGGAAAAUUCAACUCAAAUUCAUGAGCAUUCUGAAAGCUAAUUAUUUCACCAAAACAUCUCAGUGAAUUUCUAUAUUCAAAAUUCCCAGUUAAUUUUUUAAAAUGAAUUUCCAACCUCAAAAAUGAUGUUUUUUCUUCCCAGAAUGGUCAUGGCCUUUUCAACAGCUAAGCCCUUUAGAAUCUUUGUCCCACAGAAACACAUGGUGUAUUCAUAGUGCCCAGUGAAUGAGGCCUUCAGAAGGUCUGCAGGUGGGUCAUCUCAAUAAAUACUUUAUUUGAAAUGGAAUGCAUUUUGAAAAUAUGAAAAAUAAAUCACAUCUCUCCAAAGACAUUUAGGAGACAUAUUUACACAAAUUCUGACCACACUAUUAAGUUCAUGAAUGUGAUAUUUUGGAAAGCACUUGGUACAUGGUGAUGCUUGCUUUCCAGAAGCUGGCAUUUGCACAUUCUGAGACUUUAAGCAGAAGGCUAACCUCGGGAUGUAGCAGACAAUAGCUGUAUCCUUCUUCCCAAAAUACAGCGAUCUGGAAGGAUUACCUGUUGUUAAAACCUGCUUCCCCACUGCCCAGCCAAUCACCAGCACCCUAGCUGCAGAGCAUCGGGAAACAGGUCUCACCAGCUUUCAUGCAGAUGCUUCUGGUCCUGCUUCCUUCAUUGAACAGUGACACCCUUUCUAAGAAAACUCUGUUGGAUCCUAUACUCCAUUUGGCAAAUGCCCUGCCAGAAAAGUUACAGAUGACUUGUAAAUCUGGAUUUGCUGCUCAACACUGCAGAUCAAAAAAUUAUCCUUCACAACUGUGUCAAGAAUUUAGAAAAUAUUUCUUAAAAACUCACCCAACACAAUUCCAUAAUUAAUAUAUCUUAGGUUGCUUUAGGUAAAAUAGAUGUAUUUCUCUUGAAAGAAUCACUGACGGAUUCAAUAUCAAGAUCUAUAAUCCACACUUAAAAUCUAUUCUGCUAAGGACAUUUUACUGGUAAAGCAAAACCUAAAUAGUUUGAUACUUACAAAAUAAGAAAAAAUCAAAUGCUCACAGGCCUGUCGUCAUCCCAUAGAGCUCUAUGUUCUGUAGGAUUGCUCCAGGUUUACUCAAGCCUUUGACCCCUCUUCCACAACUGCUACUGAACAAGAUAAUGUUAACACUUGGAGCAAAGCUAAAACCACAUCACUUUAUCUGGAACAGAAAAUAAGUGAUGUGUUUGAACUCACAGAUGGGCAGCAAACCUGUUUAGUCUCAAGAUUUAAAAUCAGGGCUCUACAAGAGAAAUACAAAGUGUUUGGUAUAUGAGAGCAGAAAAAAGUUAAAACAGGCAUUUCAACUUAACCCAGACUUCCUAACAAUGAAGGAAACUCCUUUAAGCAACGUAUAGGGUUUUGGUGGAAAAAAAAUUUGAAGUAAAAUUAUAAAGUUGGUUUGAUUUCUACAUGAUUAAAGAAUCCCAGCUAGUUCAAUGAGGAAAAUGUUCAUUUUAAAAGGGUCCCUUACAGCCAUUUACUCUCUGACCUUAGCACUCCCUAUAGGGCAAAUGCAGAUCUGAGUGGAUUUACGCUAAGAAAGAACGUUUAAGGGCCCUCAUCUUGAUGUUCAGCCCGUCCCAGAAUUAGUGUGUGAACAGGAGAGCAAGGAAAGGAAGCACUCAGAGAGGCAAGAGAAACCACUUCCUGGGUGCUGGGGAGUUACACGUAUUUCCUUCUUUCAUUCAUUUGCCCCAGCAAAUAACUAUGGAGUUCACUGUGCUCAAGGCUUGGUGCCAACACAAGUUCAAGGACAAAAGUUCAGUUUCCAAACAGGAUGUUGCUUUUCAUUUUCCAGCUUUUUACAGUUUGUUUAUUUAAGGGGUGGCUUUUCUAUUGGGCCUGCCCUUUUGCUUUUCUUUUUCUUGGGGUGAAAGAAGUACUUUUACCUUUUCCCAUGAAGUUGACUUCUAAGGCCUCAUAAUUCCUUAGGAGGUUUGCAUCAUUUUCUUGCAAGUAGAAUAGAGACACUGAAACACUAAUUGACGUACAUUUGUAUUUUGUUUUGUUUUGUUUUGUUGAGCAUGCUUAUUUGUUUGCUCUGGAGAAAUUAUUAAAC